rnacentral:rRNA from 1 species
UACGUAGGGGGCAAGCGUUGUCCGGAAUCAUUGGGCGUAAAGCGCGUGUAGGCGGCUCGAUAAGUCUGCUGUGAAAGUCCAGGGCUCAACCCUGGGAUGCCGGUGGAUACUGUCGAGCUCGAGUCCGGAAGAGGCGAGUGGAAUUCCUGGUGUAGCGGUGAAAUGCGCAGAUAUCAGGAGGAACACCAAUGGCGAAGGCAGCUCGCUGGGACGUGACUGACGCUGAGGAGCGAAAGCAUGGGGAGCGAACAGG